CGAUACCCGAAUGGGGAAACCCAGUGUGACUCGUCACACUAUCAUUAACUGAAUCCAUAGGUUAAUGAGGCGAACCGGGGGAACUGAAACAUCUAAGUACCCCGAGGAAAAGAAAUCAACCGAGAUUCCCCCAGUAGCGGCGAGCGAACGGGGAGGAGCCCAGAGCCUGAAUCAGCAUGUGUGUUAGUGGAAGCGUCUGGAAAGGCGCGCGAUACAGGGUGACAGCCCCGUACACAAAAGCGCAUGUGCUGUGAGCUCGAUGAGUAGGGCGGGACACGUGGUAUCCUGUCUGAAUAUGGGGGGACCAUCCUCCAAGGCUAAAUACUCCUGACUGACCGAUAGUGAACCAGUACCGUGAGGGAAAGGCGAAAAGAACCCCGGCGAGGGGAGUGAAAAAGAACCUGAAACCGUGU
rnacentral:rRNA from 2 species